ACGUAGGGUGCAAGCGUUAAUCGGAAUUACUGGGCGUAAAGCGUGCGCAGGCGGUUGUGCAAGACAGAUGUGAAAUCCCCGGGCUUAACCUGGGAACUGCAUUUGUGACUGCACGGCUAGAGUGUGUCAGAGUGGGGUAGAAUUCCACGUGUAGCAGUGAAAUGCGUAGAUAUGCGGAGGAACACCGAUGGCGAAGGCAAUCCCCUGGGCCUGCACUGACGCUCAUGCACGAAAGCGUGGGGAGCAAACAGGA
rnacentral:rRNA from 1 species